rnacentral:rRNA from 1 species
UGCGUAGGCGGUGCAGCAAGUCGGGUGUGAAAUCCCUCAGCUCAACUGAGGAACGGCGCCCGAAACUGCUGUGCUCGAGGAAGAUAGAGGUACGCGGAACUUAGGGUGGAGCGGUGAAAUGCGUUGAUAUCCUAAGGAACACCGGUGGCGAAAGCGGCGUACUGGGUCUUUUCUGACGCUGAGGCACGAAAGCUAGGGUAGCGAACG